GCUAUCUUGGCCGAGUGGUCUAAGGCGUGUGACUUAAGAUCUCAUCUCUGUGGAGGCGUGAGUUCGAACCUCACAGAUAGCA
rnacentral:tRNA from 1 species